AAAAUAUAAAGAGUCGAACCUGCCCAGUGAUAUAUAUUUAACGGCCGCGGUACUCUGACCGUGCAAAGGUAGCAUAAUCAUUUGCCUUAUAAUUGAAGGCUUGUAUGAAUGGUUUGACGAGAGCAAAGCUGUCUCUUUUUAAUUCCAUAAAACUUGAUUUUUAGGUGAAGAAGCCUAAAUAAAAUUGAAAGACAAGAAGACCCUAUCGAGCUUUAAAAACUUUUAUUAACAUAUAAUAACUAAAAUAGAUUGACUGUAAUAAAAGAUUUUAGUUGGGGCGACUAAGGAACAAAAAAGCUUCCAUUUUUAAAUUAAAGCAGAUUAGCUAUGAUCCAAAAUUUUUGAUUAAAAGAAUUAGUUACCGUAGGGAUAACAGCAUAAUCUUUUUCGAGAGUUCUUAUCGAAAAAAAGGUUUGUGACCUCGAUGUUGGACUAGAAUACCCCAAACGAUGCAGAAGUCUUUAAAGGUUGGUCUGUUCGACC
rnacentral:rRNA from 1 species